UCAGGGGUUUUGUUUGUUUGCCUUUUAGUUCUACUUUGUUUGUUUUUUAAUACUUUGUGGCUAGGCGUGAUGGCUCAUGCCUGUAAUCCCAGCCCUCUGGGAGGCUGAGGAAGGCAGAUCACUUGAGGCCAAGAGUUUAAGACAAGCCUGGCCAACACGGUGGUCUCUACUAAAAAUACAAAAAUUAGCCGGGCAUGGUGGUGGGUGCCUGUAAUCUCAGUUGCUCGGGAGGCUGAAGCAGGAGAAUCACUUGAACCCAGGAGGUGGAGAUUGCUGUGAGCCAAGAUCACGCCACUGCACUCCAGCCUAGGUGACAGAGUGAGACUCCAUCUCAAAAUAAUAAUAAUAAUAAUUAUUAUUAUUAUUAUUUUAUUAUUAUUAUCAUCAUCUAUAAGGUGUAGGAAAGAGAUUGUAUUGUAAUAUUUUGUGCUAUAAUAUUCCAAGAU
rnacentral:lncRNA from 1 species